GGUCUACAUAUAGUCCAGGUCAAGGAUUAUGGCUUCCUGUCAGUAAGAGUUUUGUGGUGCCUCCUGCUGAGUUAUCCGUUAAUCCUCUGGCAAGUUGCAAAACAGAUGUCUUAGUGAAUGAAGACCCUGCAAAUAUAAGGUAAGUAGUAAAGGGGCGUAAAUAUUUAAAAAAUAAAAUAAAAUACUUGUCCAAGGGACUAAGGUGGUAGUUAAAGGACCACUAUAUGCACCAAGACCACUUCAGCUCAAUGAAGUGGUCUUGGUGCCAGGUCCAUCUAGGGUUAACCCUGCAGCUGUAAACAUAGCAGUUUCAUUGACAACCGCUAGAGGUGCUUCCGCGCUUCUCACUGUGAAAAUCAGUGAGAAGAUGCUGACGUCUAUAGGAAAGCAUUGAGAAAGGCUUUCCUAUGGACCGUCUGAAUCCGCAUGCAGCUCUUGCCGCGCAUGCACAUUCAGCCCUGACAUCAGAAGAGGGAGGAGAUUUCCCCAGCGCCAAGUGAUGCCGGCGCUGGGGAAAGGUAAGUGAUUAACCCCUUCCUCCCCCUUCAGCCCGGCGGGAAUGGGACCCUGAGGGUGGGGGGACCUAAAGACCCUAUAGUGCCAAGAAAACAAGUUUGUUUUCCUGGCACUAUAGUGGUCCUUUAAUCAGGUUGCACUCUGAUUCACUAAUGAGCACUGGACCAUGAGGGGACCUUUAUUCUAAUCCAAUGGUGGUGUAGACAUGAUGCUCCCUACCUCGCCCUAAACCCCCACUUCCCCUUCAGCAUCACCGACACAAUCGAUUUGAUCAUGGCUAGAGGCAGAAAAAAAACUGCCUGGCACAAGGAAAUACAUGUCACUGCAUUUUUAAAGUUUUGGAUACCUUGCUUGAUCAAUCAUUUGGCAAUUUUAUAAUAAAGGCUUAUGUUACUAUAUACAUUUCAGUUUCAUUGUUCCUCUAUUGCUUUGCAACUGCGUCACAUUCAAGAUACGCCCUAGUUUUGCCAUGCUUGUAUGUGCUUCCCAGAUAUACUAUUUCUUGGUAACCCUAUCUGUGUCACCCUCGUCUUAUCUAACCCUCAUGCUAACACUAACAGUUCACUGUUUAGUAGAUGCCCAAGCGCUUGCUAAAACUAACUAUAGUUGUAGAAACAUUUUGGAAAUGUUUGCUGAGAUAAUCAGGAUGUAGGUAUGGAUCUGAAUAAAAAAAGGAAAGGAAAGAUUGACAGUCCACAAACAUACAUUUCUGUAACAAAAUACAGAGAAGCAGUAGGUAGAAUAAGGAUGUGGGCUGUAUAACAUUUUGUGUGAAAUUCAUAAUGCAUACAUUUAUAAGUAUUACUUACAAGCUAUAUACAAAUUAGCAGUUAUAGUGAGAAUAUUGUGGACAGUGGCGGAACUACCGUGGUUGCAGGGGUCACAGCUGUGACUGGGCCCGCCACUCCAACCGCCAGGGCCGAACAUUAAGGGACCACCCGGUGUAAAUAAAUUUCCAGGAGGCACAAUCAGUGAUGUGGCGAUUUAACAGUGUGAUAGUGCCCCAUGCGAUGAGUUGAGAGCUGGGAGGAAGUGACUGCCCCAGUCACUCCUCCCAGCUGACACCGGGAGCCGCACGGGAUGAAGGAGAGGAGGUAGUCAGAGUGGGGACUCUGACUUCCAUCAGGCUGAGCCACUGGACCCCAGGAAAUCGCCCUCCUGCAUCUAAAAGGUAGGAAACAGGAGGGUGACUAAAACAUUUUGUAUAUGUAUGUGUGUGUGUCUGCUUGUGAAUCUGUUUUUAAGCAUGUGUUGGGGCAACACAUGGGGGGAGGGGAGAACACCAGGUGCCAGGGCAGUUUUCACACCAGGGCCCUGUGGUUUCUAAUUACGCCUCUGAGGAAGAUAGGUAAAACAGCAUGGCAUCUCUUUUUUGAUUGAAGGUAACUUACUUGAUGGCUUGCAGAUGAUAAUGCAGCAUUUUGGAAAUGAGGGAAAUCAGAGUGUAGUUAUGGAAGUGAAGAAAUAAUUAUUGCUGUCCAUUUGACUGAACAUUUUUCAGGGUAGAUACAGUAUUAUGGAGUCUCUAGACAUUGUCCGACACAGUUUUAAUAAAAUUGAGCCAGGGAGACCAGCAUGUAUUGUAGAAAGCAUAUGCACAUGAUAGAGACAAGUUCAUUUCUUUCACGAGUCUAUUGGAUUCCACCCUCUGAAUCCAUUAUCUGAGGGUUGGAGGGGUUCUGUGUUUCCAUUGCAAUGGAAUUAGCAUAGCUGCUGUCAGUAGGUGAUUUAUCAGUACCCGUUGGCUUUUGGAGAGUGGAGUCAGGUAUGUAAAGAGACCUUAGGUGACAUGGGGAGUUGAACUUCCAGGAUUAUGUGGAUGAGAUUCAUAAUUUUCUUCCAAAAUUUCUGAAUGAAGUCGCAUGACCACCAAAUGUGGCUCGCUGUGCCCUCCUGUUGGAGGCAUCACCAACACACCCCAGAGGAGUGGGGGAAGAGGUGGUGGAGGUUUGAGGGUGUAUAGUGCCAUCUGAAAACCUCAGAUUUCCACUGUUGUCUCUAAUAUUUGUUUGUAGUUGUGUUCGUGGGUGGUGUUACUAAUGGAUAAGUGAAAGAUAUUAGUAAAAAUAUGUUUAUUUUGUUGGGUAGAACGUGAUCUGUAAUUCUUCUUCCGAGCGGGAGAAAAAAAUUGGGUUUGAGGCUGUUAGGGUCCUCCUGGAUGAGUUUAUGAAAUGCGGAGAGUUGUUGCGUUUUUUUGCUUCCAGUUGUACCCAAUGUUUUAUGUUUUUUGGUUGCGACCACUCGUAUAUCCUGGAUAAGGUAAUGGCUUUGUGGUAGGUUUCAAUAUCGGGUAGUCCUAGGCCGCCUCUCGGUUUUUGCAACGCUAGGAGCUUGUGUGGGAGUCUGGGGUGUUUGUGUGCCCAUAUGAACUCUGAAAAUAUGUGUUUUAUUGAUGUGAAUGUCUUAGGCAGGGCUAUGGGUAAGGCUUGCAGGAGGUAUAGUAGUUUGGGGAGAACAUUCAUUUUUAGGAUGUGGAUGCUUGAUAGCCACUCUAACAGAGGUUUGUUCCAUUUAAGUAGAUCCUCUGUGAUUGUUUUUGUGACAGUAGUAUACGGUAUCACCGUCAAGUAUUCCCUUCUUCCCAUAAAAUAAAAUCACCCAAUACUCCACAAGAAGUGUGGUAUCGCCGAAUAAUCCACACAUGAGCCAAAGCUUAAUGCUGGAACAAGACUGAUUUACUGAAAGCAACAGGCAUUCAAUUUAAACAGUAACAGACUCCUCCUCUGGGCCAGGCUAGAUGAUUGAGUUUCAGCAAUAUACUAAGCUCAAUUAUCUGUUGGCCAGAAACAUUACAAUUUAUAACAUUUUCAGAAAAGUACUUUCUAUAAUACAUACAAAUAUAACAUUAACAUCCCUGGGUAGCUGAGGAUACUGGUAGUCAUAUAUCCAAAUCUCACAAAUUUCCGUUUGGCAGUUUCUGUGUCGCAUUGUGUAGAAGUUUGACCGGCUCGCCAUGUGGAGGUAUCCAAUUCAGAGUUCCAUGAAAUCAGCAGCAAGAGCCGGUCUCUGUUCGCGUCUAAUUACGUGAAAACCACUGUUCGUAUGAUGCAGCUGGUUACAUGUGAAUGUUCCCCUCGCUCGGUAGGUUCUACCUACCGAAUGCCAGUUUGAUUUGUGGAGGGGAACAUAUUCAGCCAGGACUUCCAUGAGGACCGGACAUUUGCAUGUUUGCCAUGCCGAAAAUAGUUCCAGGCAAUUAAUGCGUAAGUCCUGCUGACCGCAUUCAUGAGUUUUAAGAUGGCCGCCAUCCUUUGUUCUCUUCACGUGUUCGUAUGCCAAAUGGCGGCCACCUAGGUGCAAUUAAGUUGUGGUUUUCUCUGUAUAUAAGAUAAGCACAAUAGAAAGUGGGUGAUGAAUGGUGAAAAAGACCCAGUGCAGGCAAGCUUCUGUAAAGAGGUCACUCCAACCCCAAAUAUAUACAAAACAAGAUAAAAGAAAACAGAGCGCCACAAUCACUAUAUAGGUGAUAUAAUAGGGUUAAAAGAAAAUGAAUAAAUUGACAAAGAAAAAAUAUAAGGAUAAAACAUAACAGAAUUUUUUUUAUUAAUUAUAAAAUAUCAAUAUUGACAGCACAGAACAUGUGCAAUAUGAAAUGCCACAAUAGGCUAAAUAAGACCCGUAGGUACAGCAGUUAAAAACAAUAAAGUACUGGAUGUGCAAAGUGCAAGUGCCUAGGUGCAAAUGUACAGAUUGAAGUGCACAAAAAAACAAUCCUCCAUAAAUUCAAAUGGUGAACUGAAGACAAAAUAUUGCACAAGCAUUAAACCAGUAGAUAUGUAAAAUAAAGCUGCCGAUACUAAACUGCAGGGUCCACAGGUGGGCUCAACGCAUUUUGUCUCUCGACUUCCUCAGGAGCAUCUUCUCACUUCAAAUUCCUCUUCUCUUUUGAAUCCGCUGGUCAGUGCAGUCAUUUCCGCCGUCGCCCAUGCAUGUGCCAUAGAGGGAGUAUUUUGCUCUUGUGAAGUUAACCUUGAAGUUACAAUAGAGUAAUUUCACUUAGUAGGGCGGGCAUGGAGGUGCUGGGAUCAGUGACGGUGACAAGGAGAUUGUCCGCAAAUGCUGCAAUAUUAUCUUCAUGAUCCCUGAUCUGAAAACCUCAGAUUUCCACUGUUGUCUCUAAUGCCCUGGAUAAAUGGCUCCAUUAUGAUAAUGAAGAAGAUGGGAGAGAGGGGGCACCCUUGCCUUGUGCCGUUGCUAAUUGUGACUGAUUCCGAUAGUUGGCAAUUAAUUCAAAUCUUGAUACUGAGGCUUGAGUAAAGUGGAUUUUGUAGCCAGGCCUGGCCAAAUUCCAUAGCCCUGAGGGUUUCUGGGAGGAGGGACCGGUCAACCCUGUUGAAGGCCUUCUCUACGUCGACCGAGAGAAGCGAGCUUUGUGUGUUGGGCUAGGCAGAUGAGGUUGAGCAUUUUAGAUGUGUUGUUUUUUGCCUCUCUUUCCGGGACAAAGCCCGUCUGAUCAGGGUGGACCAGCCCCUCUAGCAACGGGCACAGGCAGGUGGCUAAGAUUUUUGUAAUGAUUUUCAGGUCGAUGUUGAUUAGGGAUAUAGGUUUAUAACUCCAGCAGCUCAGGGGGUCUUUCCCUGGUUUGGGGUUCAUGGGUUGUGCGAGCUUCUAGGGCAGGGUUUGGAAGUGUGGGAUCGCGUGUGAGGGAGUUGAAAGCUUUAAGAAAUGGGACUGUUAGGAGCUCCUUGAAAGUCUUAUAGUAUUUGGCAGUAUCGCCAUCUGGGCCUGGACUCUUUCUGAGGGCUAGGUUUCCAACUGCCAGUGUAAAUUCUUCCCUCGUUAUGGGGGCAUCAAUGGCUUGUUGAAUAUUUGUAGGUAGUGUGUGACCAAUUCUAGACACAAGAUAUUCCGCAAUCUCCUCCUUGCUAGGCGGACUUGAGCGAGGUUGUAUAAAUCUGAAUUGAAAUCACAGGAUGCCUCCAGUAUGUCAGGGACCCGGUGUGAUGUCUCCCCUGUUUUGGUUUAGAUUUGCCUUUGCCCCCUUUUGAGUAGUAAUUAUAUUUGGGUAGUGAGAGUUUCCGUUUGAUCUAGGCGUCUAGUAAUUGUUGAAGUGUUGACCUAUGUUGUGUUAGUUGUAUGUAGGAGUCUAGUGAGCGUGUCUCCUGUGGGACUCUUCCAUUCGGCAUAUUGAUUGUGUGAGUGUGCGGACUUGUGCCUCUCUGUCUUUCUUUUGUUUGGAAGCUAGGGCUAUGAGGUGUCCCCUGGCAACCGCUUUAUGUUCUUCCCAGGUGAUUGACUGUGUGGUGUUGGGAGAAUAACUUUGUACAAAGUAGUGUUUGAGUGUGUCUAAGAUUUGGGAGAGAAUAAGUGUGUUGUCAGCUUCCAUUGGAAAGUCUUUAAUGGGAGGGAUGGAAUUAAGAUGGUCAGAGACAGUGCUGCAUGAUCUGACCAAGUGAUUGGUCCAUAACUGCAGUGGGUGAUGAGGUGGAGGAACCUGUGGGGUAUAAACAUCAUAUCUAUUCUGUAGUAUGUGUCCAUGACCGGGGAGUAGUAGGAGUAGUCUUUGGAUCCUGGGUGGGUGAUCCACCAGCAGUCACACAUUUGUGCUUUGUCUAGAAGAUGGGUUAUUUGUCUACGGGCAGAGGCCUGAAAGGGAUACAUUCAGGUACCCUCCCAUGAUCAAUAUCCCUUCCUGGAAUACUUAUAUGAUCCUAAGGAAUUGCCGUAGCAAUCUGCUUUGGGUUUUAUUUGGUAGGUGUAGGUUUGCAAAUGUCACUGUAUUUUGACCUAUACUACCUUUAGCCAUUAUCAGUCUCCCUGAGUCUUCUGCAUAUUGAUCCUUAUGGGUGUAGGGUACUCAAGAGGAUAUGAGGAUUGCCACUCCUCUUUUUUUUUGCUACAGGAUAUUUAUUGAAGGGAUGGGGGACCACAGUGUCAGGUCUGUCUGGGAGGACAGGGGGAGGUGGUCGUCUAGACGCCUGCAAGAUAUGGUGGUGGGGCCCUGUGGACUUUAACCUUCAGCCAACCAUGGUUUCGAUAGAGAACUUGUGGUGGGUGGGGGAGGGGGAAAUCGUCAGUAGCACUGGGCUUGUUGGUUGUGCCUGGGUUGUGAGACAAGGAUCUGCUCUGUGGGGAUGGGGGGGGGAUUCCUAAUAUGGGGUGCUUACGGAGGCAAACUAUCUUACUGCUCCCUUUAAGUGAGCUGUGUAUCCACCUAAGUCCGUACAGCUGUGCAGCUUCGCUGAAGUAGGUAGCAGAAAGUUCAGUGAGGGAGCCGGAGAGUGGGUCCAUUGAAGAGGAAGGCAUGUAUAGUAGAAUACCGUUCAGUUUCCUGCAUGUAUGGUGACACAAUACCUGUGGGGGGGGUGAUUUAGGUCAUCUAAUGUCUCUGAGUAGUGGUGCUCUGUGAGUAUUGGUCUUCUGUGCUCCCUGUGGAUCAUUUCUUCUCCGUUUAGGUGGGGUGCCCCAUUGCGAGUUCUUGGCCCGAUGGAAACGGAUUGUGCUGAAGGUUAUUGCACGUCCAUUCAGAUCGGACUCUGGCGCCGCCCCCUCCUGGCUGCUUACUUUUUUAUGUGUAUUUCCCUUCUUGCAGCAUGGUGGGUGGAGGCAUACAGUUGUAAUUAAAAUUGUUCAACACCCAUUAGAAAUCAAGUGUAUAGUCAAACUUUACAGCUGUUUGCAAUGAAUAAAUCAAACAAAAGCAAUUGAAAUAGCUCAACACUAGCUCAGCUCAGCUUUUUCCAUUUUUCCUUAUCUAGGAGUUAUCCUGAUGAGGGCAAGAGCCCAACUAGGGGUUCCCCCCCUUUGGGAUCUAUACCCAGAGUUUAGGACUCAGGGUUAUGUGUAUGAAUGCCCCUCAUAUAUGAUGGGAUUGUGUAUGAAUGGUGUGGUCAGUGUGUCAGGGGCGGGGGCUCAACUUCAGACCAGGAAGGAAUUUACAAAGCAAGUCCAUCAAGAUUAUGGUUAAUAGAUUCUGGAGAAUUAUUCAUAAUUCAAAUUUUGAGCAUGACAUUUUUUUUUAUAUCGACUGACAGGAGGAUGAAAAAUUGUAAUGGUUAAAAUUAUCUUGUUAAAUUCUCAGGGCCUAAAUUCUCCUUGCAAGAGGGCUUUUUUUUUACUAUAUCAAGAGAGAAAAAGCUCAAAACAUCUUUUUACAAGAGAUACAUUGGAGAAGAGAGGGCAGCUUAAGAUUUGUCCCACACAGGUUUUCAAUAAUAGUAUCCACCUCAUUAGAGAAGCAGAGGAAGAGAGGGGUGGCUAUUCUGAUAAGUGACAACAUAGAUGCUAAAAUCAUUUACCAAGAAACAGACGAGGAAGCAAGCGUUAUAAUACUGACAAUAAAAAUUCAAACAGAAAUGCAUACUCUAGUAAAUGUUUAUGCACCUAAUAACCCUCCCAAUAAGUAUUUUUCUGAUUUUUUUAGAUACAGUUGAAAAAAAAAAUAAACAGGGUAAAGUACUCCUAGCGGUGAUUUCAAUUGAAUUGUGGACACUAGUUUAUUUAUUUAUUUUUAUUUGUAAUUUAUAAGGUACAUUGACAAAUAACGUUUUCCAGGAUUAUCCAUAGUGUCUUAUGGGUUUGCCCUUUUACUAAAUCAUUUGCUUUUUUAGUUUUGUGUUGCGUGUGUUAAGUCAUAGGUUGAUAUGUCUUCUCUCUGGGUCUGUGAUUUGUAUCCAGAGAUUUAAAAACAUAUAUACGUUUGGAGGCUUGUUUCCCUAUGUUCAGUUACUUUUGCCGGAAAUUAAUGUUCCCAUAUUAUAUGGUAGUAGAGUUGUGGUAUAGGUUUGUGUAGCUGUCAUUUAUGUAGAGGCUUGCUCUUCUACAUCCCCCGAGCAUCGAGCUUGCCUCCUGUUGUCUAUGCCCUGUUCACUCUUUUUUGGAGGGUUCCUAUAUGUGUCCCAUAAUGCCCAUGCCUCUACCCAAAACUUUUGUGGCGCUCGGUGGGCCCUAGCCAUACAUUCAUAUGUUUUGAUUGUGUCGAUCUGUGGGAUGCAUGUUUCUAUCCUCGGUGGGUCUUUACAGAGCCAGGCUUUAGCUAUGUCUGUGAUUACCACUAUGAUAAUGUGAUAUACAAGAUAUCUUUGUGUUUUGGGUAGUUGUGGUGUGAUAUGUUGUAUGAGGAAUAUAUCUGGUGUUAACAGUAAUUCAACCUUCCCUAUGUCUUCCCACAGUUGGGUGAUGGCAGGGCAUGUCCACCAUAUAUGUAGAGUAGUGCCAGAGUCGUGCCCACAUCUCCAGCAUGCACCUGUUUGCUUAGGAUCUAUGUGUUUUAGUUUGGUUGGUACCAUAUGCCAUUUAUAUAGCAUUUUCCUAGACAUCUCUACGUGGGGGGAGCAAAGACUUAGUGGUUUAUUGGCCAUAAAAAUGUUGUCACCAUGCUUCUUCUGGCAGUGGCCUGCCUAUAUCUUUUUACCACAAUUUCACAAAAUUCAUGUUCCAUAUCUCCUCUGGGGGGUGGUAGCUGUCAUAUAGUUUAGAGAUGAUACCUGGUGGAUUCGUGGGUUUCUUGCAUAGUUAUUCCAACAAAGAUAUUUUCCCCUUUGCGUUCAUUGCAUGUGUUUGUUGUAUAAUUCUUCUCUCACCACCAAUAAUUCCAAUUGGUAUUAUUUUGAGAGAAAUUCACUCUGUGUUGUGUAUUAAUAGUGAAUGUAAGAUCUCUGUGUCACCUAUUCCAAGAACUAACAUAUAUCUUUAUCCCCUUGUCCAGAUAAAUAUAUGACUAGAACUACUAAAGUAUUCUACCCGAUAUUACAAAUAAACUCAGGGGUCAUGACAGCAUUGAGGUCCCCUCCCAGAAUCAUAUGGUGGGAGGUAAAUAGUUUCAUGUGUGCCUGGAGAAUAGUCCAGAACUCCUGGUCUGGGAGGUUGGGGGCAUACAUGUCAGGAUUACAGUAUGAUCCAGCACAUAGAAUUGUGUAACACAGAGGACUGAUAACGUAAUGUAUACUGGACCUUAGAAUGGCCAGACUAACGUACCAAAGAAUCAUCAGGAAUAGCCGAGGUCAAGGGAUACAAAAAAAGACACAACAAUAAGGAAAAGCCAGAAAACAGGGAAGUCAAAAACAAUGCCAAAGUCAAAUAACCAGAAUAAGUAACGCGCUCUCGGACAACCACAAGGGAAACCACGACAGGGCACUGAGCAGGAUGAGGACUGGGCCCAAAUACCCCUCCUCUAGAUCUGAUAGGCUGUAACCGCCCUUUGACCCCAAAGGCAGUUACCAGGUUCCAUUUGCAUAAUUGCUGCUCAGCAUUAACCGUUCUGUGGAUUAGGUUGCUGCUCGGCACAACUUUUCCUGUGUGGACAGUAAAUGUCAUUAACCACAUUUUUAUAAGCGGAUGGAUACGUGACAAUAUACCAAUGUGAUCACGUAUUUGUGGUUCCCUAAGUUUCCUGCUAUUGUCAGAUAUCUGCCUGCGGUUCCGGAAUGGUUUGUGCAAAUUGUAUGGGGAAUGAUUUGUGGAUUAGCCACUCUGUUGUGUUUUCCAUUGAGGGGGGUCACUAGGUGGCAUUUGGUGUAGUGCUUAUUUUUGUAAGGGGAAGGGUCUGUUGUUCUUGUAGUGUGUUUCUUGGAUAAGGAUCGAUCCUGCUUUUGAGCGGUUAGCCCAGCGUAAUAAUUGUAGUUGUUUAGCAGGGUUAUUGAGGCCCUUGCAGUUCAAUGAGAUGCAUGAGAUUGUUCUAGGCAUAAUAAGUGGUCCUAGAAUAUAAGGGUUAGGGUGGGGGAAGAUGGGUCUGCGGGUCUGGCUCCCUCCUUUUAUAGUGGGUGAGUAUAGGGGGGGCGAGGGGAGGAGGGCUGGAGUGGUAGAAUGGGGGAAAGGUAAGGGUGUGGGUGAUGGUUCCCUGGUCUUACGGGUCAUCAGCCAGGUAAACUAGGGGGGUAUCAGUAGGGCCUGUGGGGUGGGGUUGUGUGUAAGUAGUGUCCUUUGGUGUGUAUGUGGUGGAGAGAGGAGGGAGGUUUUCACGUUCCCGUCACCUCUCCCCCCAAGCACGGUGUGUGUGUUUUCACUCACGGUUUUUGAAGUGUGGUGUCGUUCCUGUUCAGUGCCGGGUGCUGUCCCUUUGUAGAGUCAUGUGGGUAGAAGUGGCAGCUUCUUGUGUUCAGGUCGGGUUGUUGGUUGCAGUGUCGGUGGGUCCUUAAGGUAUGUCAUUGGGAUGGUGCUCAAUGAUGGGUCAGGCAAAGUCCGUCUGUCUCCUAGCAGCUAGGAACUCUGUUCAGCAUAAAUAUGGUCAUUGCAUAAACCAGUAUCAAUGAGCUAUAAUAUACAUGUGUAGGUAACAUAGGUAAAAACAAAAAAAAAACAAAAACAACAUAACAUUAAACUUUAACAACUAUCUUAUGGGGGUGUGUGGGGGGUGAGGGGGUAAUGAUUCCUCUCAGUCUAGUGUGUAUAUAUAUUCCUGGACAGUCUGAUUAGGCAGGGUGUGGGGGUCUAGCACUGUUAGAUUGUAACCUGUCAGGUCAGUGAGGAGCUUGUAGCAUUUUGGGUGGGAUGAGGGGGUGGGGGUUGUCUUGUCUGUCUGGGUGGGGGGUCGGGUUGUGCGGUCGUUGAGGGGGUGUUGGGUCUCGUCCUGUAGGCAAUGUUUGAAAGGUUUGUGUGGGGGGGGAGGUGUAAGUCUUUACCCUGGGUGAGGGCCUGUUUCCCAGUUCCCUCCAUCCCUCCCAAGAACAGUCCCCUUUUACUUGCAAUGUCCCAGUGAGUUGUUGAUUAGUAGCUGGCUUUUCCAGUUAGGUAGCCGUCUGUCUGGUAUUGAUUCGUGUAGGUAUGUUGUAGCGGUCUGGUGCCGGUUCGCUUUUGGUGGGUCCCGCUGGAUUAUCAGGUUGGUUCCUUUUUGGAGUGUUCAUGUGAGGGUAAUCAAAGGGUGCUGUCUGUAUUGCAGGGUCAGCAGCUUGAGGUUUGCUGGUGUCUCUAGAGGUCUCAUUCCUUUAGCUUAUUUUUGUUGUUUAACCUUCUUCUAUAUGUGGGGGUCGUGGGUAUAUUCCUGUAUAUGCCAAAUUGAAAAUAGAGGGUGACCGAAGCGGCAUAGUCUCUUGGUCGUCUGUCUAGGGGGCCCAGUUGUUUGAUUUUGAGUUUGGUAAGAUGUGGUGGGUUAGAACCGCCAGUUGUUUUCAGUUCCUAUGCUCGUCGAAGCUGAGUUAGUGGGGGUGUAUGGUGAGGGUGGUUGCCUUAAUAUUUGUGGGACACGAUGUGUGUUGGUUCCUAAAAGGUGGGUGGCAGGGUGAGGUGGCAUACCUCGACAUGGAGAGAGACGUCGUGUCCCAGGCAUGUCCCUCAGCAGUUUUAGAGGUGGUUAUGGAUCUUGUGUGGUGAGGCCCAUGUCUGUAGUCACGUUGUGCCGAAUCCUCGUCUUUUUAGACGGGCGGGGGGACCGUGAUCUCUCGGUGGGACGGUCCUCUGCCCCUUGCCUGGUAAGUGGGUUAUGCUGUGCUACUUGAAUCCCCAACAAUUUGGAGAAGGGGCCCUUAUCUGCCGGAGACAUUAGAAUAUAGGUUAGCAUAUAAAAUAUAGACAAUUAGUUUGAAGGGAUAGCCCCAUGUGUAUUUCAGGCCCAGUUGUUGAAGGGCUGUGGUGAGGGGUUUAAGGUCUCACCUCUUCUUCAGAGUCAUGAGGGCGAGAUCCUGAAAGAAGGUAAGUUGGUGGUCCUUGUAGUUAGGCAGUUUGUAUCUUGCUAUUUGGAGUAGCUUUUCUUUUGCAGGGAAAUUGUGUAUUCAAAUGAUGAUGUCCCUGGGGGUGUUUUGGUUCAGGUUUGGGGGUUUCAGGGCUCAAUGGGCUCUAUCCAUUUCCAGAUCCCUUGCUGUGAGGUCUGGUGCCAUGGCCCUGAAGAUGUCUUUCACGGUAGGGAGUAAGUUGUCGAGAGAGACUGCUUCUGGUAGGCCUCUGAUCUGGAUGCUGUUUCUCCAUGAUCUAUUGUUGAGGUCUCCCAGGCUAUCUUCUAGGGCUGCUAUGCAGCCAUGCAAGUAGGAAACAUCUUGGGCCUGUUCUGUGGUGGUCGAUGAGAGCUUGGUGAUGUGAGUAUCUGCCAGGUCUGCUUUGGCGGUGAGCGCGGCUUCACUGUGAGUUGCCUGUUGAUUUUGGCGGCCACGUGUGAAUUUAUGUCCACCGUGGUUCGUGAAGCAUGCCUCUAAUGAUGACGAUGGUAAGAGGGGCAAUGGGAUCCGUUGCGGGGGUAAGUGGUUCUGGAUCAGAAUCCUCUUCUUCUACAUGCUGUGAAUUGCCAUUCCCCUGUGUGGUGCUCGGUGUGCGGAACAUUAGUGCAACCAAUGGGGUUUGAUUAUUUAUUUAUUUUUGCCUCCCAUGGUGUCCAGGGUAGGGCAGAUGAUGUAGGAGUAUUUGGUGAUGAGUUUGGGUGUCUAUGGUAAAGGUAGUCGCGGAUGAUCGUGCUAUGGGGAGAGAGAACCUAAGAUUCAGGCGUCCAUCUUCCUUCGAGGUCAGGCUCCGUCCCCCAACUCACCAUCUUUUUAGACACUAAAAAUAAUCCUGCACUAGCAGGAGAGGAUAAUUUACACAUAUGGCCCUUAUUUAGGGAGUCUUUGAUAUACUUCUCCAUUAUUCUACUCUCCUUUGGGGAUAAAGCAUAUACUGCUACCUUGUGCAAUACCUUCUUAACCUCCCAGUAUUGGGAACUUUGGAGGUUUGAGGUGUUGUAGUGGGUAAUGUAAUGGUGCCCACUCUCUUGGUAAUGUGUAACAUACACCUCUCCGUACAAUCUUUGCCCCAUUCCAAUAUUUCCCCAUUGGCCCAGUCAAUAUGAGCAUGUGCUUAAUAAGCCAAGGAAAGCCUAAUAUGAUGGGGCAAGUAGGAGAAGCAAUAAUUUGGAAUGCUAUAUCUUCCUUAUGUAAAGCACCAAUGGGCAAGGUUCCGUGGGUAAUUAAGGGUUGAGAGAGCGGUCUCCCAUCAAUAGCCUCAACGGCCAGAGGUAUUAGUCUCUCCUUGUUCGGUAUAGUAUUUUUCUUUUACAGAAUAUACAUCAAUGAAGUUCCCUGCCGCACCUGAGUCCAUCAAGGCCCUGCAUGAAAAGUUGUUCUUGUUACAUUUAAUUGUAAUAUCAAGGAGGAAACUUUUUUUUUUUUGUUAUUCCCAGAGGACAUAUCCAUCACACCCAAGACCUGUCCCCUUAAGAUUCUUAGGUGCACAUGUUUUCCGGACAUAUGGGACAAGAACUCCUCAUAUGUCCUCUUCUACCGCAGUAUAGCAUAGGCCCUAUAUUCUCUUAUGUUGUCUUUCUGCUUCUGACAGUCUUUUGACCCCCAACUGCAUAGGUUCAGGUUCAGACUGAACAGGCGGGGCAGGAACAAUAGGUCUGGAAAAACAAGGUGCUAGUGACAUAGCUAUACGUCUAGUUCUAUUUCUGGUAGUUUCUCUGGUUCUUAAUCUAUUAUCAAUAUGCAUGACACAUGUUAUAAACACGUUUAAUUUUUUUAGGUAGAUCUUUGGUAGCAAUCUCGUGCAAAAUUGCUGCAAAAUAAUCCUUUUUUGAAUGCAGAGAUCAACCCACUAUUAGUCCAGUCUACCACAGCCAAGGUGCAAAAUUAUAUGACAUAAUCUGAGAUAGACCAGUUCCCUUGUUUGAUAUGCAGUGGAGGUGUCAUCCUCCCUGCCUAAUGGUUUGAAUGUUAAUUUGAAUUCUGCAAGGAAUUCCUGUUAAUUAUGUGCAAUACUCCUAUUAGUCUCCCAUAACGGAUUGGCCAAAGCUAAGGCUUUACCCUUAAGUUGGUUCAUCAGGUAACUAAUCUUAGCUCUAUCUGUGGGAAAAGGUCCCGGAGAGGCUUCAAAAUGAUACUCAAUUUGAUUCAGGAAUCCCUGGCAUUCUUGAAUAUUACCAUCAAAAUGCGGAGGAGGAGAUAGGCAGAUAGUUGGUGCCUUAUGUACUAUAGGUGGAAUUACUCUAGGCGGAGGUGACACAGGCGGAGAAGCCGCAGGUUGCAGAUGCACUGUUCGAGUAAGAAGCAUACUCAAAGCCUGGGCAAAUUGAUCCAUAUGGUGAUCAUUCUCCUCUAGCUUUCUCUCACAAGCAGCUAUGUGCCAUGUCAUAAUGUGCCAUGCAUUCAUAUGUAUAUGUUGAGUCUAUUCUACCUAAAAUCUCUGACACGGUGGGCGUCUGUGCGGUCUUCCACGUGUGGGCAAUUGCAUUUUUUGUUGCCAUUAAGCAAUGGAUCACUAGGUAGACCUCAUCCUCAGGGAGAGUGUUCGGGAAAAUGUGUAAUAUAAAGCAUUCCGGUCUCAUUGGUACCUCGAUCCCCAAGCUGUUGCAUAGAAGUGUUGUUAUGUUUCGCCACAAUGUAGUAAUCUUUGGGCACGUCCAGAAUAUAUGAUAGAGGGUCCCUUCCUGAUUGUGGCAUCUCCAACAUAAUUUGUUCGUCCCUGGAUAUAUGUGAGCUAGUUUGGUAGGGACUAAGUACCAGCACAUAAUUAAUUUGCAGAACGUUUCCCACUGGGUGAGACUAUGGGGGGCCUGCUUUGUUUUCUUUUGAGCGUGGUACCAUGUUGCUUGUGAGAAUUGUUUCCCUAUAUCCAUUUCCCAUUUAGACAUGUAUGGGGAUUUUGCUGUUUUAUUUUGGAGUAAGAGCACAUUAUAGCAAAGGGACAUUGCUUUAACAUUUGGUAAUUUCCCCAUAUAUUUUUGGAUGAAUGGUGGCAAGAGGUUGGGCUCCCUUAAACUAAGCCUACAUUCCUGCACUAUGUUCCUGAUUCGUAGGUAAGAUAAUAUUUCCUGAGGUUUCCGGGAAUGGUUUGAUACCAGCAGAAGUCAAUAAGGAGCGUACACGGUGAACCCCUUAGUCUUAGCCAAGGGUCUACCUGCAGAUUUGUCGUUCGGGCAGGUAAGGAGUAGGUCAUUCUCUUGUAAGAAUAGUGGGGUAGCCUGCUUCCAUGUGUGGAGCAACAUUUCUGUGACUGGUAGCAAGAUCUUUGACCUGGGGAGCUUUGUUCCUGCCCAAAGCGUAAGUGGAAUUGUGCCAGUGGGCAUGCAUGCAUUUUCCAACGCUAGCCAUACCGGAGGAGAUGAAUGCUCAAGGAUCGUGAGGCCUUGUGCCAAUAUUGAAGCUUUGUAGUAUAGUUUUAAGUUGGGUAUGCCCAGUCCGCCUUUUGUGAAUGUGCGCCACAGUGAGUUUUGUGCUAUCCUUGGAGGUUUCCGUUUUCAAAUGUGUGCGUUAAUUGUAGCCUGGAAGUUCUUUAAUAUAGGAUUUGGAAUUGUAAUGGGCAGGGUGCGAAAUAGGUAUAGUAUGUGUGGUAAUAUAAUUUUUUAUGGUGUGGAUCCGCCCUAACCAUGAGAUCUCUUUGUCCUCCCAUGCCUUAGGUUGUUGUUCUAAUCUGUGAAUGAGCAGUGCAGGGUUUUCCCAUAUUAUCGCCGAUUGUAAUUCUGGCUGUUUUAUACCCAGAUAUGAAAGAGUGGUUUUUCGCCAAUCAAAGGGGUACAGUGUUUUCAGGUGUGUUAGAGAGGAGGGUGCAAGACCUAUCGCCAGUGCUUGUGUUUUUUUGGCAUUGUUCUUAUAGCAAGACAUCUUCCCGUAUCUCUCCAGCAAUGCUAGCAGGUUUGGUAAGGAUGUCUCCGGGUGUGUUAAGAAUAGGAGAACAGGGCUAUUUUUUGGUCCCCUAGAGGUGUUUCUAGGCCCCCAAUAUUGUGUUCAUUUUUAAUGUGUCUGAUUAGGGGUUCCAUGCACAGAAUGAGUAUUAAUGGAGACUGGGGGCACCCCUGCCUGGUGCCAUUUUUUAUUUGGAAAGGUCGCAAUAGGAACCCAGAGUUAAAUAUUUUGGCUGCAGGUCUGGAAUAUAGGACCAUAAUGCAUUUUGAGAAUUCUAGUGGGAUACCCAUGUGUAACAAUACAGCCCAUAUGUAUGUCCGAUUUAAGUGAUCAAACGCUUUUUCCACGUCUAAAGCUAGAAGUAUGCCUUUUUGGUUAGUAGUCUGGGCCCAUGUGAUUAAGUUUAAAAAGUGGCAUAUGUUAUACCCUGGCUGCCUAUUCGGGACAAAUCCUGCCUGUUCUGGACAGACUAAAUCUUGCAAGAUGGGUUAUAGGCGCGUAGCUAGUAGCUUGGCAUAUAGUUUUGUAUCUGCAUUUAGCAGCAAAAUGGGCCUCAAAUUGGCACAUUCGGUGGGAGGUUUGCCUGGUUUGGGAAGCGUAACAAUAUGGGUUAGCAGCAUCUCUUCCGGUAUGGACCCUGAUUCCCUAAAAAAGUUAAAAAGUUCUGUAAGGUACGGUGUUAGAUGUGCCUCAAAUGUGGUGUAAAAGUGAUUGGAAAACCCAUCUGGGCCCGGAGCUUUGUGUUUGGGCAGUUUGUGUAUUGCGUUUUGCAUUUCGUCUUCUGUGAAUCUAGCUGUCAGUAUCGAGCUUUGGUGGGCAGUCAGGCGUGGUAGAUUUGCCUCUUUUAGGAAGAUAUCUAUUUCUGACUCGAUUGGCUGGUAUAGAAUUUUAUCCUGUGUGUGAUUGUAUAGCUUAUUUUAAAAGGUCGUCAAUUCGUCCACCUUGUCUUGUGGGUUAAAUAGUUUUGUCCCUGCGGCUGAUGUCAUGUAUGGGAGUUUGGAUUGUAUAUAUUGGGAUUUUAAGCAUCUUGCAAGCAUUUUCCCCGCCUUAUUCCCUUGCAUAUGGUAGGAGAGCUUCAACUUGCGUAGCUGUCUUUCCAUAGUUAUUAAGGACAUUGCAUGUAGAUCUUCUCUUUUCAAUUUUUGGGGAUAGCGUUCUAGUUGAUCUUAAUUUAUUAUCCCUGUCUAGUGUUUUGUGUUGAGCAGUUUAGUGUGAGCAGUUUGUCUGUUUCGUUGUAGACCUUCCGUUUGUUUGUCGACCCUGCUUGGAUUAGUAGACCUCUCAGUACUGCUUUUAGGGUCAUCCAUUUAGUGUCAAUGCGUGAGGGAUCUUUCUGAUGAUUCUCAUAAAACGUCUUGAUGCUUAUGCAUAUUUUGGCGGCUGUAUCCGCAUUAUCUAUGAGGGAUUCGUUCAGGCACCAUGCACUCCGUCCUCAAGCCGCGUACAUGGCCCUGAACAUAGUAAUUACAGGUGCAUGGUCGGACCAGGUCCUGUCCCCUAUUUGCACUUCUAUGACAUUUGUUAUAGAGCUCUUGUCCACCCAACACAUAUCUAUACGAGAAAAAUAAUUUUUCUCCUUCGGGUAUAGGAUGCGCGAUGUGUCAUAGAGAUCGUUCGUGUGGAGUAGUGUGCUAAGGUUAUAGCUCAUAGUACUGGCUUGCUGUAAUGGAUGUUUACUCUCAAUUCGUUUGAUAUCUAAUUCGGGGUCCAGCGUGCAGUUAAGGUCCCCACAAAUUAUAGUAUGUCCCACACGUAAGCUAAUUAUCUUGUUUAGCGAUCUUUUUAUAAAGGAGGUUUGGGAGUUGUUGGAUGCAGUUAGCAUGGGAUACAAUGGGGAGCCUUUGCACUCCUUGUCCAUUGAAAUUCCCGUGGGGGGGUCGUGCGGAGCGGGUCCGCACCCGGCCAGAUUUUUGUUAAUAAACUGCAUUAUUGUAGGCAACUUCAGAGGGGGGGAUUGAUUGUGGACAACAGCCUCUAUUUUAAUAAUUGCAUUUCGGCAUUACAUUAAUGUUGUAGGACGUUGUGAUGCGAUUUAUCUUCCGGGUUCGGCACUUCUGCAUUGCGGAGCUGGCCCUGCCCCCUUCUGACGCGGCUCUGACAGUACUUAGGGAGACCGCACCAUGGAGAAGGCGCUUGAUGAUUGUGGGACCUACUUCCGCGCAUACACGCCAGCUCCACAAGCUCUGACAAGCCGUCCCAGCCUUUGAACUAAAUGCAAGGAUUGCUGCAUGCCAUAAAGGAUUACUGGAGAACGGAUACUUUGCUAAUUUACAAGUGGACUAUAACUCUGAACUCUUGGAGGGCAACUCACCUUAACCUCAAGUAUAUCUUUCAACCGUUGUCUGCAAUAUCAUUUAUUAUUGGAACCAUUCCUGCUUGCUUAAAUCUUCUCUGCUUCAAGUUAUUAAUUAUAUGGAGGACAACUCCUAUCAUGCUUAUUUACUAUGAACUGUUUCUUGCUUUGCAAAUACUCUCUGCUACCUGCUUAAUGUUUCUAUUAAAGAUUAUUCCCAGCAACCUAAAUAUUCUUAUUAAAAAUGUCUCUUAGGAAAUACUUAUUAAUAAACUUUGUAUUGUUUGAUAACCUGCACUUUCUUCUUAUUGGAUUAUUGCCUAUAUGCAAUUAAUUUAAGGUUAUCAAUAAUUAAAACUUUGUUUGAUUCUCAAAUUGUCAGCAAUCCUCUCUUUUCUUAAAGCUACAGUAUUGAUACUUUAAAGAUUCUUUGUUUCUUUACUAUUGUAAUCAAGGAGUUCUACAAGCUGCAGUUGAGUUCCAAUCCAAAUAACCCAAGUAGCAUAACAAAAUCACCAAGCCUAAAAAUGGAACCAGCAGAUGUGAAUUCCCAAAUUACCUCUUUAAACCACAGGGUUGAAAUACUCACACAAGGCAUGCAGGAUUUGCAAAUUGCUAAUGAAAGACUUAUUUCUUAUAUUAGAGAAAUGCAAAAUAAAGUUACACAUUCUUCAAGUGACCCUGCUGUCUGCAAUCCCGAAAAAAAAAUAUGGAGAUCGUUCCAAAUAUAGAUAAUUUGUGAAUUCAUGCAAAUUAUUGUUUACUCUCAAACCCAGGGCUUACCCCUCAGACAGGAUUAAGGUGUGUUCAAUAAUUUCCUACUUAAGGGGUGAACCUAUGUCCUGGGCACAUUCAUUUCUGGAAAAUGAAGAUCCUAUUUUGGAUUCUUUAGAUAAUUUUAUUGAGGCAAUGUCAUUACUAUAUGAGGGCCCUAAUAAACAAGCAACUGCUGAUCUUACUAUUAGAUUAUUACAACAAAGAAAUCGUCCUGUGGAGGAUUAUAUAGCUGAGUUCAAAAGAUGGGCUUCAGAAACCCAAUGGAAUGAUAUUGCUCUACGUACAGUUCCGUUUAGGAUUAUCUGAAACAGUUAGAGAUUAACUAUCUAGAACCACUCUUCCCCCAACACUUGAUACAUUAAUUCAACUCUCUAUUAGUAUAGAUUGAAGAAUCAGAGAACGUAAAGCUGAAAAUGCUCUCUCUAAUUCAUUUUGGAAAAAACCCAGUCCACCUUUGCUAAUGCCUAACAAACCCUUGCAACCCAGUGAACCUGUGAAAGUUAGGUUUCCUAGGGGACCUUUGUCUAUGGAAGAAAAAACAAGGAGGAGAGACUUAAAUCUUUGUAUGUACUGUGCCUCUAAAGAACAUCUCUUACAAGAAUGUCCUCUUCUAAAACACUCUAGGGAGGUAAGCCUAAAAUUAAUACCUCAAUUCUAAAAACACUACCCUCUUCCUCCUCUCAUCAGUUUGCUGUACCUCUAAUUUUACAGUGGGACAAAGAAAGAAUCAAGACUGAGGUCAUUAUUGAUUCUGGUGCUACUGGGAUAUUCAUAGAUUCUUCGUUUGUUGAAGCCAAUAAAAUUCCUUGUCUGAAAAAAAGCAUAUUUUGUCUCCAUCAGAGUUAUUGAUGGAUCUUUAAUUCCCUCUGGUCCCAUAAAAAAAUGAAAUUAUUCCUAUUUUGACCACUAUCAAUAAUAAUCAUUCAGAAUUUAUUGUUUUCAAUAUUAUAAACCACCCCACCCCCCCCACCCCCCUUUUUUUCCAAUCAUCUUAGGAAUCAACUGGUUACAAAUUCAUAAUCCCUUCAUUUGUUGGGCUCCCUUUUCUCUCACCUUUGACUCAGAAUAUUGUAAGGACAAUUGUCUCCCUCAAAUUCUUAUAUUUAAAUUAAGUCACAAAACUCUAAUACCAGAACCAUAUUCAUAUUUUUUGGAUGUAUGUGGUAACAAAAAAGUUGAUGCUCUUUCCAGAAUUCCUGUUAAUGCUUCUGCAAAAGAGAAAACUUGAUGAGAUGGAAUGCAGUGAAAUUCCAUCUGAUAUCUCCUUGAUGAGAUGGAAUGCACCAUAAGUCCCGAGCCAACUUUUAAUGGGCUCUGAAAAGUGAGAGUUUGCUGAUUAUCUUUACAUAUCCAUACAUGCGAUAUACAGGUUACGAUGUGUGUGUGUGUGUUUUUUUUUUUGUUUGUUUGUUUGUUUUUUUUGCUUUAUAUCUAUUUAAUCUAGGGAAAAUACAUUUCACUAUAUUGUUUACCAAAAAACAAACAAAAAAAACAACUUUCAUUUGUAAGGGAAACCAUCGAUAUCUGUGUGCGCAAAUCACCUUGCUUGUUUUUAAAUUCCCUACAUAUAGACUACACCGAAUGCUGAUUGGCUAUUGGAUAUUCCAUUGCAAUUACUUGACUGUUUUGUUUUUUUGUUUUUUCUUGUAUUGUUUCACUAAACAUUAUUGAAAUAGUCUUUGCUACUGGAGUUUAGUAAAGAAAUGCAUAAUACGUGCCCCUUGUCUUUAAUGCAAUGUAUAUUUUCUGACAUUAAGACUAGAAAUAUCUUGAAUUUGAAGCACUUUACAAUUUUGCGAGAAAAACUUGGUGUUUAGUUACUCAGCUUCUUUCACAUGCAUAAUUAAUGCACCACCAACCUUCUGUCCUUGACAUGUAUAUUCCAGAUUGUAUGUGUGUGUGUUAAUUUUCUUUUUAAAAUUAUUGUUAUUUUUAUAGAGCCAACAAAUUCAGCAGCACUUUACAGUGGGUGAACGAACAAACAUAGUUGUAACCAGACAAGUUGGACACCCAGGGACAAAGGGGUUGAGGGCCCUGCUCAAUGAGCUUACAUUCUAGAGGGAAUGGGGUAAAGUGACAUAAAAGGUAAGGAUAGUAUUAGACAUAUGACAGUUGCAAGAGAGGAAUCAGUCGGUAGCUAUUAACAGUUUAAUUGAUACACUUUUGAAGAAGUGGGCUUUUAAUGAUUUUUUGAAGGAGGGAAGACUGGGUGAGCAUCUAACAGAGGAGGGAAGUGAAUUCCACAGGAGCAGUGCAGCCCUCAAAGUCUUGAACGCAAGCAUCAGGGGUGGGGGGUAGGUACGGACAGAAGAUAGACAUAAGUCUUUGGGGCCUAGACAGGAUAUACUUGUGUUUUACAGAGGAUAGAUAGGUGGGAACAGCAUUAUGUAGAGAUUUGAAAGCAAGAAAAAUAAUUUUAAAUGAAACCCUAUAUCUUACAGGAAGCCAAUGUAGGGACUGACAGAAGGGUGAGGCGUGGGAGGUGCGGGUGAACAGGAAGAUGAGCCUUGAAGCUGCUUUUAUUAUGGACUGGAGUGGCACAAGUUGGGAUCAUGUAAGACUACUGAGAAGCAAAUUAUAGUAGUCAAGGCGAGAAAGAACAGUGGAAUGGACCAGCACCUUAGUCGCAUCUGGCAUUAAGUAGAAUAUGCACAAUGUUUUUGAGAUGAAAGUGGCAGAAUUUGGCGAAAGACUGAACAUGAGGCGUGAGGGAGAGGUUGGAGUCAAAGAGAAAACCAAGGCAGUGAGCCUGCAUGGUGGAGCUGAUGGUAGCACUGGUGACUUGGAUGGGGACAGGCACAGGAGUAGCAACACUUAAGGGAGUAAAGACCAGCAUUUUGGGUUUGGUCAAGUUGAGUUUAAGGAAGUGGGCAGCCAUCUAGUUAGAAAUAGCAGAGAGGCAGUCAGAGAAACUAGUCAAGAGGGAUGGGGAUAGAUCAGGAGAGGACAGAUUUGAAUGUCAUCUGCAUAGAAAUAAUAUUGGAAGCCACAUGACUUAAUGUUUUUACCAAGAGAGGCAGUAUUGAUGGGGAACAGUAGGGGACCAAGGACUGAACCUUUGGGGACAUCAACAGAGAGGAUUUGGGGAGAAGAAGCAGAGCCAGAGAAAGAAAAGCUGAAAGAGCGCUGGGAGAGGUAGGAGGAGCACCAGGAGAGAGCAAUAUCUUGUAGACAGAUAUUGCAGAGGAUGAGAAAAAGCUGUUGAUGAUCAACAGGGUCAAAAGCCACAGAAAGGUCAGGGGGAAUUAGGAUAGAGUAGUGACCACAAGGUUUUGCAGCAAGUAGACAAUUGGAUACUUUGGUCAGUGCCAUUUCCACAGAGUGCUUAGCGUGGAAACCAGACCGAAGAGGGUCUAGCAGAGAGUUGAACUCAAGGAAGUCUGUCAAUCUCGCUUAGACAACUCUUUCAAGGAUCUUGGACGCAAAAGACAGUAGCGAGAUAGGACAGUAGUUGGGUGUGGAGUUAGGGUCACGGUUGGGCUUCUUAAGAAUUGGGGUUACAGUUGCAUGUUUGAAGGUCAAUGGAAAUAUGCCAGAUGAGAGAGAGAUUGAUAAUUCCAGUGAGUGGUAGAACAAGAGGAGAGAGUACGGAUGAGAUGCAAGGGCAUUGGAUCUAGGGAGCAGGUGGUGGAGUGAGAGGACUGGAGCAGAGCAGAAACCUCUUCUGCUGUAGCUGGUGCGAAUGAAGAUAGAACAGCAGAGGGAGUGAGGUUAGGGGGGAGUAUUGUAAGGGGAAGAAGAAAGAUGAGAGGUCUCUCCCCUGAUUGUAGAGAUCUUGUUAGUGAAGUGAGUUGAAAAGUCUUAGGCAGUCAAGUUAGUAGGUGGAGGAGGAACAAUAGGGUGAAAAAGAAACUGUGUCGUUCUUUAUUCAUAUCUCAUUAAAAAGUCUGUGACAUUCUUUAGUCAUAUCUCAUGAAAAGUCUUCCAUGGUCCUAGCUUGAUAUAAAAAUGAGCACAAUGAGGUAUUAUGUUUAGACUUCAUUCUGCAUUUUUGCAGAGUUGUAUAGAGAUCAGAUUGUCAUCCUCAAGGCUAUAUUAAUGUGGUUCUUAACCCCUUAAGGACCAAACUUCUGGAAUAAAAAAUAAUCAUGACAUGGGGUUAAAAGGACAUUCCAGACACCAAUACUACUGCAAAACAUUUUGAUUUAAAGGUUUUGGCACAGCAGGGCGAAGUAAUAUGUUUGCCAAGAAUAUAGAGAGAAAAUAGAAGGGGACCAAGGAUAGUGCCUUGGGGGACUCCAACCGAGACAGGGCAAGGGGAUGAGGUAUCAUUAGAAAAGGAGUGGAUGGGUGUUGGGAGAGAUAGGAGGAAAACCAUGAGAGGACAGUCACAAAGACCAAGUGACUGAAGAGUUUGAAGAAAGAGAACAUGAUCAAUGGUGUCAAAGGAGAUCAGAAUUAGUAUGGAGUAGUGGCCUUUGGAUUUAGCUGCGAUUAGGUCGUUAGUAACUUUGAUAAGAGCAGUCUCAGAGUGGAGAGUGCAGAAGCCAGACUGAAGAGGGUCAUAGGAUAUGUAACGAUGGUUAGAGGGGGAGGAUGGGUCAAUAGAUGUUUUUAUUUUUUUCAGGAUAGGUUCUACAGUGGCAUGUUUAAAGUCAGCAGGGGCGACACCAGAAGAGAUAGAGCAGUUGGAGAUGUGUGUUACGGAAGGGAUGAGAGAGGUGAGAGAGAUCUGAUAAGGAGAGGUGGGGCAGGAUCGAACGAGCAAAUGAUGGGGCGAGAGGAAAGGAGAAGCACAGCCACCUUUUGUCCAGUAGCUGGGGAGAAAGUCUGAAGGAUAGAAAAGGCUUGAUCUACAUGUGGUUGAGAAAGAGAACAGCAAGUUGGGGAUAAUUAUUUCCUUAGCUGUUUAAUCUUGUCAGUAAUGUAGCAUGCAAAGCUAUCAGCAGUAAGGUUAGGUUGGGGGUGGCCACAGCAGGGCGAAGAAGAGAGUUAAAGGUGUCAAGGAGACACCUGGGAUUGCUGGAGCAUGAACUAAUGAGAGAGGUAAAGUAUGACUGGUUGGCAAGGGCAAGACCUGCACUGCACUGUAUGGACACAAUAUGAAUCUACAGUGCAGAUAGUAUGCCUUGGUGCUAGACCUCCUCCAGGAGUGUUGAGCACAACUAGAACAUCUUUGCAGGUAGCGUGUUGAUUUAGUAUGCCACGGUUGAGGCUGUGUCCUCCUCAAGGUGCAUGUUUGCAGCGUUCAAGGCAGAGGUGAGGGUAGUGUUAUAUGUGGAGAUGAUAGUAAGGCGAGAUAUAGGUGGCGCUUAGGGAUGUACGCAUAUGGUGCUGCUAAAUAACACAAGUAUAUUGUUACUUUAUAUACUUCAAACAAGAAUAGAAUAAAAAAAAAAAAAAAAAUAAGGUGAAAGUGCACUAUACCUUGAAUGUAUAGUACACUUGGUAAAAGGUGGUGAAUUUUCUUUUACAUAUAGAGAGUAUACUUGGUGACAAACGGUACAAUUUACCUAUACAGAGAUAUAAACAAAACACAACAUAGUGUAAUCUGUAUGUAUAUUAAAUAAAAGGGAGGUUCUGAGCUCGAAACACUCACAAUAUUGUGAGCCAAUUAAAGUUGGCUCUGGACUUAUAGAGAGUAUAUAUCUCCAUUAAGGACAUGAACAGCCUUUCUCCAUUUGAUGAGUCCCCCAUUUUUUAUUGUUAUUAUUUUGUAUUUAUUUAUUUAUUUAUUUAUUUUUUUUUUUUCAGAUAGUGGAAAGUUGGAUUCAGGAACUAGGAGUUGGAGAUAUUUUAAAAGUAACUUUUUAUUACUAUAUGUUAUAUAAAACAAAUAAAAAUGCACAACACAUUUCAACCAUAAGCAUGUGGUCUUCCUCAGGUGCUGCUGAAUGUUACAAUGGAGGUGAAACUGUUUAUAUAUGUUACAACAUCAGUAAAACAUAAUAGCAUAACUAAUCACACAUGUUAAUAGAAUGCACCCAUUUCCUUACAUGGUCUGGGCCGGAUUUACACCUGCCACCCCCAACAUGGUGGCACUUCCGGUCCGGACAUAUUGAAACCGCCAUAUUGGUGGUUUUAAAAGACACUUUACAGAAUAUGUACACAUAUUUAGCAUGUCACAUCAAAAUGAUAUAGCUCCCUUCUAGAUAGAGAAAGCAACAGCAUGAUGCAUAACACGUUGGUGUCUCCUUCCCCGGGAUAUGAAUAGAAGUAUUUGUGGAUGUGUCAUGCCACUUCCUGUGACGUGUCGAACUUCAGUUUAGUCUGUCGCAUCAUUUCCGGUUUUGACGUGCAUAUCAAAAAUGACACUUCUCCCUCUUCUAUGGUUGCCUGCCAGGCUUAUAUGGUGAAAUGUAGUGUAGUUUACAUAUAUUUGAAGUUGCAGACACCAUUUUCAAAGAGGUAAAAAGUCCCACAUAUGGAAAUUAAAAUAGAAAUACAAAAUAUAUAAUUAUAAAUAUAAAAAUCACACACAUUAAAAGGGAAUGUAUUGUAUAAAGGAAUAAAUAUUCCCCGAAAAUUAAAACUAAUAUACAAAUAAAGAAAAGGAGGGGAAAUAAAAUAUUAUUGAUCUCAUUCAAUGUCGAUGUCUAAUCCUUUAGGGGUUAAUGUGCGUAGCUCAAAUAUCCAUUUGGAUUCUUGUAUACUAAGAGCCUUGACAAUAUCCCCUCCUCUCCAGUUUAUGUUCACCUUAUCAAUUGCACAAAAAUCUAAGUAGUUUGGAUCAGAGUCACGGUAUUCCAAAAAAAAUGUCUGGAUACACUGUGGUUGGGGAAGCCCUUUCUAAUGUUCCUGAGAUGUUCACUUGUUCUAAUUUUUACUUGACGGGAUGUCUUCCCCACAUAUUGAAAACCGCAACUACACCAACACCCGAUAGAUAACAUUAGAGGAAUGAGACAUAAUCCGGGAUUUGAUUUGAUAUUUUCUUUCAGUAACAGUAGAAUACAAGUUUUCUACUUUCUUAUUCAAUAUUGUGGUGUUGCAACAAAGUUCCACAAUGAAAAAAAAAAACAAAAAAAAAAAAACACCUUUUCUUCUUGUGUCCAACUCUUUAAGACAUUUCUUGGGGCUUCAUUUUUUAUAAAGCUGGUAGUCAGAAUCUGUUUUAGGUUUCUAGCACCCAUGCAAAUAAGCUUUGGUUUGAUACCUAUAUACUUUUGCACAUCUUUUUCUUGUUCAAAAAUGUGCCAAUUUUUUGUUUAUUAUUUUCUUAACGGCACCAACAUUGCUGGAGAAAUUAAAAAAUAAAUGGAAUCUGUUCAGUUUUGGUUUUAUUGGAGGUUAUCUCCUUUUUUUCUUAUAUUGCAAUAAAAGAGAUCUAUCUAUAUUGGCAACUGUAACAAGACAAGUUGGCCAGAGGGAUUGUCCAAAAAUCAAGAGAACAGAUAAGGUAAUAACCCUAAGGUAAUGAGACAAAGAAAAAAAAAAAAAAAAAAAAAAUGGGAGGCGGGGGUGGGGAGGGGGAGUGAAUACAAAACAGAAAAAGAAAAAGGUAAUUAACAUAAAUCCAAAUUAGUGAUCUGGAGCAAAGCUAAUAACAGUGAUCUCCAAGGUCACAAUUUAAUUAAAAAAAACAAAGUAACAAGCGAAGCUGCUUAAAAACUGUGUAGUAGAAUCAAAUACUGUAGUAUGAGAAGGAAACUAUAAGAUGUGCAGAUAGUUGACUCAAUAUCAUCAGCUUGCUACAAGUAUUACAAGAAUGUAUCAUUAGGUAAAUACAAUGUAUAAUGUAGUGGUUCGUAACAAUUCAUUCACAGUCAGAGGCUUUAACAGGAGGCACUAUCGAGCCAGUGUGAACUGUCAAUUGAAGACCUGAAAUCUAGUUCUGUAUAGACAAAUGUACUAGUUAGUGUGUGAAUCAUACAAAACAAUAGAGCAUGUAGCACUGCACAACCCAAAUAAAACACGAUCAGUGCAGUGGCUAGAUGUCCAACCAGACUUACUAAAUAGUGAAUCUGUAAGAUACCUAAAUAAAUAGAUGGAAAGCACAUACUAGAUAAGAACAAAUCAGAUAGAUAGGAAUAGUGCCUUCAUGGACACUAGUAACAGUGAAGUACAGAGAAAAUAAAAAUUGAAAGAGCAAAAAGCUCAGAAAUUACUAAUAAGAUGUAGUGGCUCUGUAGCUAAGCUUUAAACAGUACCUUGAUCGGUAUUUUGCUUCCCAAUAACUAGAAGUGGGCUCAUAAUCAACCAAAUUCUACGAUUACCAAAAUGAAUCACUAGGUUAUCGUGGAAUGAACGGUCCAAACUGCAGCUCUAAUGCUGUGGAGCAGAGAGGGAUGCAGACAGUGAUAUCAGGACUAAUCAAUAUGUUGCUUCCUGCUAACUAGAAUGGCUAACAAAUAGCCUAAUCCUGGAGAUACCCAAAAAUGUCACUGGGCUAUUGCAGGAUGGCAAAUUUAGACCACGGCAAGUAGAGAGAAGAGGGAUGCAAACGUAAAUGUGGAAGAGGUGUCAGAACGUUGUCAAGACCUGAACGGUGUCUCCUCCACGGCAUUUGCGCUGCGGUUUGGACCGUUCAUUCCACGGUAACCUAGUGAUUAAUUUUGGUAAUCAUAGAAUUUGGCUGAUUAUGAGCCCACUUAUUUGGAUUUAUGUUAAUUACCUUUCUUUUUCUGUUUUGUAUUCACUCACCCACCCCCCCACCUUUUUUUUUUUUUUUCCUGUGUGUAUGCCCCUCACACAUUUCUCUUCGUCUGAGUUAGACAGUUAUAUUUAGAUAUAUGCACCACCUUUUUGGUGUAAAUAAAGUAUCCUCAAGAUUUUUAUUAACUCUAUAUUAUAGGGACACAUUUGCCUCCUUUUCUUUAUAUUGACAACUGUAUUGAUGCUGUCUCGCAGAUCUGGUUUAUCAUAACCUUUUUUGUUCAAGUUUAUUUUUAAGGACUGUUGAUUGGGUAAUGCAAUCUUCCUGAUUCGUACAGUUUCUGCGUACCCUUAAAAACUGUCCUUUGGGUAUGUUUGUCAACCAAGGGUGAUGAUGACCACUCUCUAGUUAAAUGAAACUGUUGACAUUGACUUGUUUGAAGAAGGUUUGGGUCAUUAACCCCUUAAGGACACAUGACAUGUGUGACAUGUCAUGAUUCCCUUUUAUUCCGGAAGUUUGGUCCUUAAGGGGUUAAAAUAUUAUUGUGAAUAAAAAAGUACAAUGUUAUCUGCACUAAAUUUUUUUGAAGGAAUGAUGCCCCAGUUGUUGUGGUUUAGAUGUUCAAAAAAUUGAAGAAAAGAUUAAUUAGAUCCCUUCCAAAUAAUAAAAAUGUCAUCUGUAUAUCCCUUGUACAGGACCAAGUAUGCACCAUAGUCAUGCCCAUGAUGAACAUAUGAUUCUUCCCAAUAAGCCAUGAAAAGAUUGUCAUAACUUGGCGCAAACUUGGUCCCCUUGACAUAACUUGGCACAAACAUGUUUUUUUGGAAUACCAUGACUCUGACCAAAAAUACUUCGAUUUUUGUGCCAUUGAUAAGGUGAACAUAAACUGGAGAGGAGGUGAUAUUGCCAAGGCUCUUAGUAUACAAUAAUCCAAAUAGAUAUUUGAGCUACGCACAUUAACCCCUAAAAGGACUGAACAUUGUCUUUGGGAGCAAUAAUAUUUUAUAAUACAUACAUAUAUGUUUUAGAUAUUUUCUAGUAUAUUUGUCUUGGUUUGGGUUUAUAUAUAUAUAUAUAUAUAUAUAUAUAUAUAUAUAUAUAUAUAUAUAUAUAUAUAUAUAUAUAUAUAUAUAUAUAUAUUCUAUUUUGUUGGGUAUAUAUAUAUUUUUUUUUUUUUAUGUAUUCCUUUAUACAAUAUAUUCCCUUUUAAUGUGUGUGAUUUAUAUAUUUAUAAUAUAUAUCUUUUGUAUUUAUAUUUUAAUUUCCAUAUGUGGGACUUUUUACCUCUUUGAAAAUGGUGUCUGCAACUUCAAAUAUAUGUAAACUAUGCUACAUUUCGCCAUAUGAGCCUGACAGGCAACCAUAGGCGACGGAAAAGUGUCAUUUUUAUAUGUACAGCAGAACCGGGAAUGGCACGACAGAUUAAACUGAAGAUCGACAAGUCACAGGAAGUGACACAACGCAUCCACAGAUACUUCUAUUCAUAUCCCGGGGAAGGAGACACCAACAUGUUACUCAUAAUGUUGUUGUUGUCUCUACCCAAAAGGAAGCUAUAUCAUGUUGAUGUGACAUGCUAUAUACUUGUAUAUAUUUUGUAAAGUGUCUUUUAAAACCACCAAUAUGGCGAGGUUGGAUAUGUCCGGACCGGAGGUACCGCUAUGUUAGGGGUGGCAGGUGUACAUCUGGCCCAGACCAUAUAUGGAAAUGGGUGUAUUCAAUUAGCAUGUGUGAUUAAUUAUGUUAUUAUGUUUUAUUGAUGUUGUAACAUAUAUAAACAGUUUUACCUGCAUUGUAACAUUCAGCAGCACCCGAGAAAGACCAUAUGCUUAUGGUUGAAACAUGUGCAUUUUUAUUUGUUUUAUAUAACAUAUAGUAAUACAAAGUUACUUUUAAAAUAUCUCCAACUACUGGUUCUGGGAUUCCAACUUUCUACUAUCUCAAAAAAAUAUAUACUUAUUGGGGGACUCAUCCAAUGGAGAAAGGCUGUCCAUGUCUUUAAAGGAGACAUAUAUGCCCUAUAAGUCCAUAGCCAACUUUAAUUGGCUCGAUACAUUGUGAGUGUUUCGAGCUUAGAACCUCCCUUUUAUUUAAUGUACAUACAGAUUACACAUGUCAUGUUUUGUUUAUAUCUCUGUACGGGUAAAUUAUACUGUUACCAAGUAUACUCUCUCUAUAUAUAAGGGAAAUUCAUCAUCUUUUACCAAGUGUACUAUACAUUCAAGGUAAAACAUUUUUUUAAAAAUUUUUUUAUUAAAUGUGGAUAUGGCCAGUGAGGGACAGAUAGCAGUUGUGAAUUAAUAUCAGCUGAAAGCUGCUGGAGGUCAAUACAAUUAAGGUUCCUCCUGAGGUGAGGGGGUACUCCUGAACAAAUUAUAAGGAAAUGGAGUGUUGGAAAUAUUAAACACUGUACAUGCAUUAGAGAAAAUAAGGGUCAAGGGUAUUGCCAGGUACAUGGGUGGGGAAAUUAAGAGGGAGUAAUUAAAAAGUAGUUUAGAGGCUGCUGAGGUCAAAGGUGGGUUAAUGGGAAUUUCAAAGUCCCCAAGCAUUAGAGAUGGACUAUCAGAGAGGAAGUAGGGUACCCAGGUAAUAUAAAAUUAAUCUGUACUAACAAUGCAUUUUUUCUGUGUAUUCUAAUUGUGUUCACUAUAACAUAGUUACAGUCCCUUCUUAUUUUUCCCCCAUAGAAAGGAAGCCUUUCUUGCCACCCAAUUUGAAUCAGUUGAUGACCUACUAUCUUCUUUUGGUCCAGUACGCAAUUGCACACUCAGUAAUGGUGGCUGUUCACGCAACUUUAAAUGUGUCUCAGAACGCAAAAUUGACUCAACAGGGUGUGUG